GAGUCGGGCCUGCCCGGUGAGAGCAAUUUUUAACGGCCGCGGUACCCUGACCGUGCAAAGGUAGCAUAAUCAUUUGCCUUAUAAUUGAGGGCUAGUAUGAAUGGUUUGACGUGAGCAAAACUGUCUCUAUAUAAUUUUUUAGAAUUUGAUUUUUAGGUGAAGAAACCUAAAUAUUAUUGAAAGACAAGAAGACCCUAUUGAGCUUAAAAAUAAUAAAUUAAAUAUUAAAAUAUAUUUAAUAGAUAUUAGUUUAUUUUUAAAUUUUGGUUGGGGCGACUAUAGAACAAAUAAAGCUUCUCUUUAUUAUAUUAAAACUCACAAGUUUUGAUCCAAAAAUUUUGAUUAAUGAAAUUAGUUACCAUAGGGAUAACAGCAUAAUUCUCUUUAAGAGCUCUUAUCGAAAAGGGAGUUUGUGACCUCGAUGUUGGACUAGAAUAUCCUGAAGAUGCAGCAGUCUUUAAAGGUUGGUC
rnacentral:rRNA from 1 species